rnacentral:rRNA from 1 species
AUGUGUGACAAAUGUGCACGCUGGAAGCAUCAAAUUUGUGCCCUUUUUAAUUUCAAAAGGGGUGAUUCUAAAGAAGCAAAAUGUACUUGCCCUAAAGUGUUGUUCUUGGGGCUAAAGAUCUGCCAAGGGUCGUGCUUAGCAAUCAUAUACAAGAACAACUCUUUAAACCGUUCAGGGAAGAGAGACACGAACAGGCCAUUCAUCAUGGGAAAAGCUUUGAUGAGGUUAGUGUUGCCUCAUCAAUCCACAGAAUCUUACGUUUAUGGAUCCUAUGUUUUCUUUUUCUUGGUUAUGUCUUGGUUCCUCUUUCCUGAAUAUGAAAUUUGUAGCUCGUGUACUUCUUAG